rnacentral:rRNA from 1 species
UAGGGAAUCUUCCGCAAUGGGCGAAAGCCUGAUGGAGCAACGCCGCGUGAGUGAUGAAGGUCUUCGGAUCGUAAAACUCUGUUAUUAGGGAAGAACAAAUGUGUAAGUAACUAUGCACGUCUUGACGGUACCUAAUCAGAAAGCCACGGCUAACUACGUGCCAGCAGCCGCGGUAAUACGUAGGUGGCAAGCGUUAUCCGGAAUUAUUGGGCGUAAAGCGCGCGUAGGCGGUUUUUUAAGUCUGAUGUGAAAGCCCACGGCUCAACCGUGGAAGGUCAUUGGAAACUGGAAAACUUGAGUGCAGAAGAGGAAAGUGGAAUUCCAUGUGUAGCGGUGAAAUGCGCAGAGAUAUGGAAGCACACCAGUGGCGAAGGCGACUUUCUGGUCUGUAACUGACGCUGAUGUGCGAAAGCGUGGGGAUCAAACAGG